rnacentral:rRNA from 1 species
UACAGAGGGUGCAAGCGUUAAUCGGAAUUACUGGGCGUAAAGCGUGCGCAGGCGGUUCGUUGUGUCGGCGGUGAAAGCCCCGGGCUCAACCUGGGAAUGGCCGUUGAAACUGGCGAACUGGAGUGUGGCAGAGGGGGGUGGAAUUCCGCGUGUAGCAGUGAAAUGCGUAGAGAUGCGGAGGAACACCGAUGGCGAAGGCAGCCCCCUGGGCUGACACUGACGCUCAGGCACGAAAGCUAGGGGAGCAAACGGG